UACGGAGGAUGCGAGCGUUAUCCGGAUUUAUUGGGUUUAAAGGGUGCGUAGGCGGACGCUUAAGUCAGCGGUAAAAUUGCGGGGCUCAACCUCGUCGAGCCGUUGAAACUGGGUGCCUUGAGUGGGCGAGAAGUACGCGGAAUGCGUGGUGUAGCGGUGAAAUGCAUAGAUAUCACGCAGAACUCCGAUUGCGAAGGCAGCGUACCGGCGCCCAACUGACGCUGAAGCACGAAGGCGUGGGUAUCAAACAGG
rnacentral:rRNA from 1 species